rnacentral:rRNA from 1 species
GACUUAGGGCGCGAGCGUUGUCCGGAUUUAUUGGGCGUAAAGAGCUCGUAGGCGGCUUGUCGCGUCGACUGUGAAAUCCCGCGGCUCAACUGCGGGUCUGCAGUCGAUACGGGCAGGCUAGAGUUCGGUAGGGGAGACUGGAAUUCCUGGUGUAGCGGUGAAAUGCGCAGAUAUCAGGAGGAACACCGAUGGCGAAGGCAGGUCUCUGGGCCGAUACUGACGCUGAGGAGCGAAAGCGUGGGGAGCGAACAGG